rnacentral:lncRNA from 1 species
CUAAAAACUAGUAGAAUAAAAACCUUAGGUACUAAGUUAUACUUCGUUUACCAUUUUCUCUAAUUUAUUAUUUCAACUCAGAAUCACAAAAGAAUGCUCAUUCAAACACAGUGGUAAUAUGACAGUGAGUAGCACUUGAGAAACACAAGCCAGACACAGUGGCUCACACCUGUAAUUCCAGCACUUUGGGAGGCUGAGGUGGGAGGAUUGCUUGAGCUCAGGAGUUUAAGACUAACCUGAGCAAUAUGACAAAACCCAGUAUCAACAAAAAAUACAAAAAAAAAUUAUUUAUUUGGGCAUGGUGAUGAGUGACUGUAUUCCCAGCUAUUCUAGAGGCUCAGGCAAGAGGAUGGCUUGAACCCAGGAGGCGAAGGUUGCAGUGAGCCAAGAUCACGCCACUAUACUCCAGCUUGGACAACAGGGCAAGACCCUAAGAAAAACAAAAACAAGCCACCUUUCCAUGUGGAUUAUAUUCCUAGGCAAUUUACUAUACGUGGAAAUAAAGUGUAUCAACUAUUAUUUUCUCCCAGAAACACUGCUGUAACAGAAGGGUAAAGUUCCUGACCUAGGGCCUUAUGCCAACUUUUACUAAAUGCAGGACUUAAUAAACUAUAAAUGAUAUAUUUUAGUUUCAUAGCAUAAAGCUUUCUAACACACACACAUAAAUCAAUUAAGUAGUGCUACAAGUAGUCAAUAAACAUAAAAUCCAUUUAAUAUGGUGCAGUCUGUUUGACCACAUCUUCCUGCCAACUAUUACACUGAAGCAAAACAACUCCAAUGGGCAGGCUUAUUCAUUUUAUGGAUUUCAGGAUGAUUUCCUUGAGGACAUUUUGACGAGUAUAUUGAAGGAAAGUUUGGGGCAGUUAUGUGAUGCCGUUCUGGAAAAGAAAAAAAGUGAACUCAGGAGUGAUUACUUGCCAUUCCCUCGUUCUCUGAUAGUCAAUUUUCCUGUUGUAAAACCUAGGGAUUAGAACUAAUCACAGCCCACUAGUGUGGUUAAGGUUGGGAUUCAUUUUCUCAAAAGGGGAGAGCAACAUAUGUUCAUGUGAGAAACUGCCUGUUUACGUGUCAGAAGUUACAACAUGGGUGUAAUUGGCAAAGGGCUGUAAGUGUGAAUGGCUAUGAGUACAAAUCACUGUAAGGAUUGCUUGCAUGAUUUCCCCCUCCAAUUUAUCACUGAGUGGAAGAAACAUGAGCGGGGAGAUCUUGGUUCUUGUCAUCCCAGUUAAUAAAUUCAAAGCAAAAAUGGGCAGACUCACAGAAGGCCUGAGAGUCCUGAACUAGACCUUCAAAUAAUCCCAAAUGUCAUGUCAGACUACUGUUCUGUGAUAAGAAAUGGUCAGUUAUCUUUUAAGAACCCAAUAAACAUCACGCAAAGUGGAUCUCUAAUAAUUAUUCUCCAAAUCUUGUGAUAAAAUACUGAGCUUUAUGUCAAGUCAGCCCUGUGUGGCAGGACACCGUGAGCAGUACAAUUUGUUCUACCUCAGGUUGAGGGAUAAAAGAAACCACUCAUUUAAUCUUGUAUUACAUCAAAAUUGAUUUGGUCAAAAGUCACAAAUUAGUUCAGUCAUUUUUGACAGCAUGAUUUUUAUCAGAGGACCAAAAGUUUGGUUAAAUGAUGGGAGAGAAGGGGAGAAGAUUUUGUUUCCAAUCUUGGGAAAAAGAUCUGUGCAUCAAAAUUAUUCACCUAUCAUUUUCAGAUACCAUUGUUCACAAUAACUCUCCUAGAGCUGUGUUUAUUUUUUGCAGAAUGCACUCUGUCAGUUACAUUGAUCUUAAAGGGCUUAGUUAUUCCUUUCCUUGCUGUGCAACCAACUCCACCAAAGUUGUGUUUAUCUCUGCUUGUUUUCUAAUCCAGUGGAACCAAGGAGGCAAGAUGGUCAGGUAUGAUAUGAUUUCCCCUUAAUAUGGAAACUGCUGUUUAUCUAGUAUGUUGCAAAAGUAGUAGCCUUGCUCUCUAAUCACCUAAAACAUACCUGAAAGCAAGAAGGUUCUCUCCCAAAAGCUGGUAAACACAAUGUCACAAACCAACCUGUCUGCCAUAAAGGCACUGGUGAUGUCCACAACGUGUCCUUCAGGAGGUCAAACAAGUGACACUCUCAGAUUCUGAAAGUGGAGAGCCACCACCCCUUUAGGCCCUUCUAAGUAUGGAAGAGAGGAAGGGAACCAGCGAUUAGUUUUACUUCUUUAGAAAAUCCAGCUCUUUUUCAGAUUAUUUCUUUUUUGCCUUCAUCCCAGAGAGUAAAAUUCCUUUGAAACAAGGAAGCAUUUCUUUCAAGAACAUCUUUACCUGCUUUAGCUUUUGUUUUCUGAUAGUCAACCCCACCCAUUGUUUCACUUGACAAGUAAGGGAAAGAAAGAUUUUUUUUUUAACUCAUCUAAAGAAGGAGAACCUGUAUGGAUGGAUCUUGAAACCAGUGGAGUGGGUGCCCACUGUGGGCAGGACUAGGAGCAAGGAGGUGCACUAAAGCCAGCCUUUACAUGGAGCCGCCUCACCCAAAUUCAAAAUCUGUUUAACCAUCAACUUGCCUUAAACAAGAAGAUAAGUCUUUUAAGCAAAGCAAUGGAACUCAUUAAGAGGUACUUUUAAGACAUCUCUCAAAUGUACAUAAUAAGCUGUAUUAAGGAUCAUGAAAUAAUAGUAUCUACCAUUUACUGAGCUCUCAUUUUGCACCAGGUGCUUUACAUAUCUCAUCUCACUUGCAUAGCAGCAUCUCACUUGCAUAGUUAUUAUCAUUACCCCCAUUUUACACAUGGGCCUGUGGUCUCAUCCAGGCAUGGCAUCAGUGACCAAGCUGGGAUUUGAACCUAGAAAUUUAUGCUUUUGCUGCUAUACCAAAUGAUGUCCCUCAAAAGAAAUAAUCUACGAAGCUGCUUUGUAAACAGUAAAGUUUCAGAAUAUUUUAUAGUGACAGCUUAAACAUAUUCUGCAAAGUUUGGCCAGAAGGCAAAACAGGACUCUGUUCUUCAAAGUGCAACGAGCCUGGGUUUAGUUGUCACUCACUGCCAGGGAUAGGCUCAUUCUUUGCCAUUGAUCCCUGUGGGAACUGUGAUUGUCUUCAUUUGUAAAAUUAUGAUAAUAACUACUUAAAAAGUUAUUUUGAGGGACAAAUAGAUAAUGGAUGUAAAAUACUUCCUGGCACAUCAUAGGCAAAGCAGGUAUACUUGAUCAAUAAAUGUUCCUUUAUCUCUUUCCCUCACAACUGUCAAAAACAACAAAGUGUGUCCUCUAGCUUGGCUAAUACCAUGCAUGUCUCACCUCUUCAGUCACCUAAGCUGAACUUUGAAUCAUCCUUGAUGCAUUCAAAAAAACGUUUUUUGAGCACUUACCUUACACCUAGCAGUAUUUUAGGCAUGGGAGAUCUAGGUGUGUAGAAAAUAUCUGAAUAGAAUUUAAAUAUUUUUUCAUCUCCCCAGCCUCCCACCCAGAUAAUCAUCAAAGUCCUGUUCAUUGUACGUGUGUUAGAAAUUGAGAUUACCAUCUUGCCUUAAAUUUGCCCUAUUCUGUUCUUUCCUAGUGUCACCUCCCAAAUGUGGAAAUGCAUUGUCUUUCUUCUUUCCUAGACCAGUGGUCCUCAAACUUGAGCAGGUAUAAGAAUCAUCAUCUGGGUGCAGGGGCUCACACCUUAGUCCCAGCACUUUGGGAGGCUGAGUGGGUUGGAUUGCUCAAGGCCAGCCUGGGCAACAUAGUGAAACCUUGUUUCUACGAAAAAUAAAAGAUUAGCCAGGUAUGGUGGUCCGCCUGCAGUCCCAGCUACUUGGCAGCCUGGGGCAGGAGGAUGACUCGAGCCCAGGGAUUCGUGGCUGCAGUAAGCUAUGAUCAUGCCACUGCACCGCAGCCUGAGUAACAGGGUGAGACCCUGUCUCAGAAACAAAAACCAAAAAAAUCGUCAUCUGGAGAGUGUGUUGAACCUCAGAUUGCUGCCUCUCCCAUCCUCUGGAAUUCCCAGGUGAUGGUAAUGCUGCUGGUCCAGGGACUACACUUUGAAACCACUGGCCCAGACUAUUACCUCACUUACCUCUUCAUCUCUUCACAAGUAACCUCAUCAUUUUCUAAUCCAGGAAUCAACAAACCCUGGCCCUUUGAGCCAAAUCAAGCCCACAGGUUGUCUUCAUCAAUAAAGUUUUAUGGGAACACAACCAUGCCCAUUUGUUUACACAUUGUCCAUGUCUGCUACGAGGCAGAAAUAAGUAGUUGUGACACAGAUCAUAUGACCCACAAAGCCUAAAAUGUUUAUGAUCUGACCCUUUACAGAAAAUAAUUUUUUGGACCUCAUCUUUACCAUGCUACAAAAAUGGUCUUGCCAAAAAUACACCCAUCCAGUCACCCUCUAACUUAAAAGAUGGUUUCUCAUUGCCUGCAUAGUCAAGUCCCAUGUUUUCUAUGGUGUGACAACCCGUCCAACUCUGUUUUACCUAUCUCUUUGUCCAAUAAUUUAACCAUCCUUAACUUCUUAGUUUUCUUCAAGCAGUUCAAAUCCUCCAUGGUUUCCAAGUCUUCCCACAUCUUGUCGCUCUAUGUACAAUAUCCUUCUCUCAUUUCUUCACAGGAUAAGCAACCACAUCACAUGAGUUUAAUUUUUUUUUCUUAGAUCUACUCAUUUGUCAGUUUAAUUUUUGAGAUUUCAACUAUUCACUCUGUCUCUCACUCAAAGAGACAGGGAGAAUGAGGACAAUACUGCCUGCCCAUUCAUUUCACAUAAUGAGUUUAUGUUUGUGAAUGAACGUGAGAUGCGAGACUUUACCCUACCAUUCCCUCAGUCCACUCAGACCCCCGGUGCCCGUCCUGUGUUAGUGUGAGGCUUUCACCACAGAGGGUGUAAUCCCAGUGUUGAAGGAUAACCGUUUUUCAUACAACAGAGCCAAUAAACACAAGCCAACUUCUGCAUCUGGUGCUCAAAGAAGCAGCAACAAUCUGUUCCAAAGCUGGAGGAAAACUGGCUGUGUGGGGCUUACUGGAUACUGAAUAUCUAGAUACUAAAUACCUAGGUGCUGUACUUUAUGGGUGAUUUAAGGGUUCACUUCAAACAUCAGCAUUUAUUUGUUUAUAUUUUAUUAUUUUUUAUUUUUUUAAUUUUUUGAGAUGGAGUUUUGCUCCUGUUGCCCAGGCUGGAGUGCAAUGGCAUGAUCUCGGCUCACUGCAACCACUGCCUCCCAGGUUUAAGUGGUUCUCCUGCCUCAGCCUCCCGAGUAGCUGGGACUACAGGAGCACGCCGUCAUGCCUAAUUUUUGUAUUUUUAGUAGAGAUGGGGUUUCACCAUGUUGGCCAUGCCUGGUCUCGAACUCCUGACCUCAGGUGAUCCACCUGCCUUGGCCUCCCAAAGUGCUGGGAUUACAGGUGUGAGCCACCGCACCCGGCCAACAUCAGCAUUUAGAACCUAAACCCUAAAUAAAAUCUAACUCACUCUUUAAGCUUUGGCACAAAUGUCGUUUCUUAUUUGCUCUGAUGUGGGUCAGUCUUCCUUCAUGCUCCCGUAAGUAUCAGAGUUCCUUCAAUCAUUUGCACAUAUCUGUGUUAUAAUGUUGAACUGUAAUUAUUUAUUUAAUUUUCAGUCUCUCUCCUUUAGGCAGUGAGCUCUCCAAGGACAAAGGCAUAUUAUUUGUUUAGCUAGCUUUUAGAGAUAGGGUCUUGCUAAGUUUCCCAGGCUGGAGUGAAGUGGCUAUUCAUAGGUGAGAUCCCACUAUUAAUUAGCACAGAAAUUUUGACCUACUUCAUUUCUGACCUGGGCCAGUUCACCUCUCCUUAGGCAACCUAGUGGGCCUCACUCCUGGGAGGUCAUGAUAUUGAUGCCAGUUUAGUGUGGACACCCAGUGAGCAUAGCUCACUACAGCCCAGAAGUUCUGGGCUCAAGCUGUCCUCCUGCCUCAGCUCCCAAGUAUCUGGGACUACAGGUACAUGCCACCAUGUCCAGCAACAAAGACAUAUUUUAGUUAUCCUGUGUUUGUGUCUGUCUCAAUACCUAGCCUUAGUAUAAACAUUUAGCAAAUGUUUAUUGAUGAAAUGGAUGAAGUCCCACCUCCCAUUUUGGACCACUUGCCCUUCUCAGAAAUGAUCUAUGAACUCUCACUGAAUGUUCAGUUAACGUCCAUGGUUUAUCAUUUCAAUGCAUUUUAAUUCUUCCAGUAUUCAUUUUUCUUCUCCACUAGGUUUAAGCAUGGUCAUAGCAGAAUCAAUGUGCUCACCCCAUCAUGAAAAAAAAAAUGUGUUAAUGAAUUGAUUACUACUUUGAGUGUGCCAUAUUUUAAAGACGAAGAGAAACUAAUCAAGUUAGUUUUUAUUUGGUCAGAGGCUUGUUUGUGCCUGCUUAUCUAAAGUUAUAAAGGCCCCAAAUAUGGCUCCGUGUUGCAGAGGGACUGUCUCUUCUUAUAUCGACAGAGCCCAUAUUCACAAUGUAUCACACUUACCUCGAUGUAUUGUCUGGAGUUUCCUAGGCUGUGUCCUUUGCCUGGAAUGCUCUCUCUUGCUGGCUGGCUUCUUCCCACCAGCUGUGGCCAGGGCUGCUCCUUAUUCCUUCGUCAAAACUCCGUCUGCUGGGUGUGGUGCCUCACACCUGUAAUCCCAGCACUUUGAGAGGCCAAGGUGGGAGUAUCGUUUGAGCCCAGGAGUUCAAGACAAGCCUGGACAACAGAGCAAGACCCUGUCUCUACCAAAGAAAAGAAAAGAAAAGAAAAGAAACAGCCACUUUCUCUUCCAUGAGCCAGUUUAUGUUUUCUUCACGGCAUUUGUUACAAAUCACAAAUGUGGAGGAAAAAUGAAGGCAAAGCAAAAUAACAGGCAAGUCUGAAAACAAAAGUGUUGCCAGUCACGCUAAGCCUCAGGCACGCAUUCUGAAUGAAGCUAAAGUUUAAAGUCCCCUCUGAUAGAUUUGUGACUUAAAUGUCCACACUAGCAAGUGUGUUUCUCACAUGGAGAAGUAGCACGAUUUUAUGUCAGGAAAGGGAUGAGAACAUGCUUCUUGAACACAUACAAUGCUGAAGACAUUUCCUGGAAAACCAUUGGCCUUUGCUUAGGACAGUUGCAUCACACAGAGAUGUUUGUGGUUCAGAUUUAUAAGAAACAUGGGAACUGAAGCCAAAGCACUACUUUUGCUCAGUAUAACCAGGUGCCAGAUCUAAAGUGUUAGGCAGGUUCCUAUAUGUAUGUUAGAAAAAAGUUGCCCAAGUUUUGGACAAUUCCUUUUCCAUCUCUCUUACAAGUCAACAAAUCGAAGCAAUAAACUAUUCUCUGAAGAAAACAAAUUUAUUUGGUUGAUUCAAACUUUUAAUGAGACUAUUACUCCCCUGUGUGCCUUUCCUUUCUCUGGUUCUAGAAAUACAUCUAGAAAGGGGGAAAAUGUUAAUAUAUUUUCUACUGACUUUAUAUCACAAAUGCUUAGCUUAGAGGGUGGACUCUGAGGAACAGUGUCCUUUCCAAAUAUUAUAAAACUUUGUGUUCAUUCUGGAAAAACAAACAAAAUUAAUCACAAUGAUUUCCUGCUUUGGAGCAAUGAGAAAUGGGAGGGAAACUUCACCUUUUCAUAGCUUUUGAUGUUUGCACCAUGUGAAUUACCCACCCCCAAAUUUAAAAUACGAAUUUUUGAAAAAGUGUUUACCUCUGAGAAGAGAAACUAGUAGUGAAGAAUGAGGAGCUGUAGAUUUUUAACGAUUCUGAUGUAUUUGCAUUUUUCCCAAUGUUCAUGAAUAAAUAAAUGUGCAUUCAUAAUUAAAAAGAAUAAACAACCUGGAAAAAACAAAAAAA